UACAGAGGUCUCAAGCGUUUUUCGGAUUCAUUGGGCGUAAAGGGUGCGUAGGCGGCGCGGUAAGUCGGGUGUGAAAUUUCGAGGCUUAACUUCGAAACUGCAUUCGAUACUGCCGUGCUCGAGGGCUGGAGAGGAGACUGGAAUUUACGGUGUAGCGGUGAAAUGCGUAGAUAUCGUAAGGAAGACCAGUGGCGAAGGCGGGUCUCUGGACAGUUCCUGACGCUGAGGCACGAAGGCCAGGGGAGCAAACGGG
rnacentral:rRNA from 1 species